UUAAGCGACUAAGCGUACACGGUGGAUGCCCUGGCAGUCAGAGGCGAUGAAGGACGUGCUAAUCUGCGAUAAGCGUCGGUAAGGUGAUAUGAACCGUUAUAACCGGCGAUUUCCGAAUGGGGAAACCCAGUGUGAUUCGUCACACUAUCAUUAACUGAAUCCAUAGGUUAAUGAGGCGAACCGGGGGAACUGAAACAUCUAAGUACCCCGAGGAAAAGAAAUCAACCGAGAUUCCCCCAGUAGCGGCGAGCGAACGGGGAGGAGCCCAGAGCCUGAAUCAGUGUGUGUGUUAGUGGAAGCGUCUGGAAAGGCGCGCGAUACAGGGUGACAGCCCCGUACACAAAAAUGCACAUGCUGUGAGCUCGAUGAGUAGGGCGGGACACGUGGUAUCCUGUCUGAAUAUGGGGGGGACCAUCCUCCAAGGCUAAAUACUCCUGACUGACCGAUAGUGAACCAGUACCGUGAGGGAAAGGCGAAAAGAACCCCGGCGAGGGGAGUGAAAAAGAACCUGAAACCGUGUACGUACAAGCAGUGGGAGCACGCUUAGGCGUGUGACUGCGUACCUUUUGUAUAAUGGGUCAGCGACUUAUAUUCUGUAGCAAGGUUAACCGAAUAGGGGAGCCGAAGGGAAACCGAGUCUUAACUGGGCGUUAAGUUGCAGGGUAUAGACCCGAAACCCGGUGAUCUAGCCAUGGGCAGGUUGAAGGUUGGGUAACACUAACUGGAGGACCGAACCGACUAAUGUUGAAAAAUUAGCGGAUGACUUGUGGCUGGGGGUGAAAGGCCAAUCAAACCGGGAGAUAGCUGGUUCUCCCCGAAAGCUAUUUAGGUAGCGCCUCGUGAAUUCAUCUCCGGGGGUAGAGCACUGUUUCGGCAAGGGGGUCAUCCCGACUUACCAACCCGAUGCAAACUGCGAAUACCGGAGAAUGUUAUCACGGGAGACACACGGCGGGUGCUAACGUCCGUCGUGAAGAGGGAAACAACCCAGACCGCCAGCUAAGGUCCCAAAGUCAUGGUUAAGUGGGAAACGAUGUGGGAAGGCCCAGACAGCCAGGAUGUUGGCUUAGAAGCAGCCAUCAUUUAAAGAAAGCGUAAUAGCUCACUGGUCGAGUCGGCCUGCGCGGAAGAUGUAACGGGGGCUAAACCAUGCACCGAAGCUGCGGCAGCGACGCUUAUGCGUUGUUGGGUAGGGGAGCGUUCUGUAAGCCUGUGAAGGUGUGCUGUGAGGCAUGCUGGAGGUAUCAGAAGUGCGAAUGCUGACAUAAGUAACGAUAAAGCGGGUGAAAAGCCGCUCGCCGGAAGACCAAGGGUUCCUGUCCAACGUUAAUCGGGGCAGGGUGAGUCGACCCCUAAGGCGAGGCCGAAAGGCGUAGUCGAUGGGAAACAGGUUAAUAUUCCUGUACUUGGUGUUACUGCGAAGGGGGGACGGAGAAGGCUAUGUUGGCCGGGCGACGGUUGUCCCGGUUUAAGCGUGUAGGCUGGUUUUCCAGGUAAAUCCGGAAAAUCAAGGCUGAGGCGUGAUGACGAGGCACUACGGUGCUGAAGCAACAAAUGCCCUGCUUCCAGGAAAAGCCUCUAAGCAUCAGGUAACAUCAAAUCGUACCCCAAACCGACACAGGUGGUCAGGUAGAGAAUACCAAGGCGCUUGAGAGAACUCGGGUGAAGGAACUAGGCAAAAUGGUGCCGUAACUUCGGGAGAAGGCACGCUGAUAUGUAGGUGAAGUCCCUCGCGGAUGGAGCUGAAAUCAGUCGAAGAUACCAGCUGGCUGCAACUGUUUAUUAAAAACACAGCACUGUGCAAACACGAAAGUGGACGUAUACGGUGUGACGCCUGCCCGGUGCCGGAAGGUUAAUUGAUGGGGUCAGCGCAAGCGAAGCUCUUGAUCGAAGCCCCGGUAAACGGCGGCCGUAACUAUAACGGUCCUAAGGUAGCGAAAUUCCUUGUCGGGUAAGUUCCGACCUGCACGAAUGGCGUAAUGAUGGCUAGGCUGUCUCCACCCGAGACUCAGUGAAAUUGAACUCGCUGUGAAGAUGCAGUGUACCCGCGGCAAGACGGAAAGACCCCGUGAACCUUUACUAUAGCUUGACACUGAACAUUGAGCCUUGAUGUGUAGGAUAGGUGGGAGGCUUAGAAGUGUGGACGCCAGUCUGCAUGGAGCCGACCUUGAAAUACCACCCUUUAAUGUUUGAUGUUCUAACGUUGACCCGUAAUCCGGGUUGCGGACAGUGUCUGGUGGGUAGUUUGACUGGGGCGGUCUCCUCCUAAAGAGUAACGGAGGAGCACGAAGGUUGGCUAAUCCUGGUCGGACAUCAGGAGGUUAGUGCAAUGGCAUAAGCCAGCUUGACUGCGAGCGUGACGGCGCGAGCAGGUGCGAAAGCAGGUCAUAGUGAUCCGGUGGUUCUGAAUGGAAGGGCCAUCGCUCAACGGAUAAAAGGUACUCCGGGGAUAACAGGCUGAUACCGCCCAAGAGUUCAUAUCGACGGCGGUGUUUGGCACCUCGAUGUCGGCUCAUCACAUCCUGGGGCUGAAGUAGGUCCCAAGGGUAUGGCUGUUCGCCAUUUAAAGUGGUACGCGAGCUGGGUUUAGAACGUCGUGAGACAGUUCGGUCCCUAUCUGCCGUGGGCGCUGGAGAACUGAGGGGGGCUGCUCCUAGUACGAGAGGACCGGAGUGGACGCAUCACUGGUGUUCGGGUUGUCAUGCCAAUGGCACUGCCCGGUAGCUAAAUGCGGAAGAGAUAAGUGCUGAAAGCAUCUAAGCACGAAACUUGCCCCGAGAUGAGUUCUCCCUGACUCCUUGAGAGUCCUGAAGGAACGUUGAAGACGACGACGUUGAUAGGCCGGGUGUGUAAGCGCAGCGAUGCGUUGAGCUAACCGGUACUAAUGAACCGUGAGGCUUAACCUU
rnacentral:rRNA from 1 species